AUUUUCAACGGUGGAUAUCUUGGUUCCCAUAUCGAGGAAGAACGCAGCGAACUGCGAUAAGCAAUGCGAAUUGCAGAAUCCGUGAGUCAUCAGAUUUUCGAACGCAGCAUGCGCUUCGGGGAAACUCCUUGGAGCGAGCUUGCUUCAGUGCUUUUGAUUAUCCUAAAACUAAAUGCGAUUGAACUCCGGUUCUCUCGUUAAACUUGAGUGUCAGGUACCUUGACCUUGUGAAGUGGUCACUGCCUCACGGCUGGUGAUUUCGCAAGCUCUCAAAGUGCUGCAGCACAGAGCAAUCAGUCUUUAAUGAUAAUAAUCGCCUGAAGUCAAGCUGGAUUACGCGCUGAACUUAAGCAUAUCAGUAAGCGCAGGAAAAGAAAUCAACAGAGAUUCCCCCAGUAGUGGCGAACGAACAGGGAAGAGCUCAAGCUGUAAAUCUCCGCGCUUCGCGUGGCGAGUUGUAAGCUGGGGAGUUCAUUCUGCAGACGGAUCCAGGGCAUAAGGCUUUUUGGAAUAGGCCGGCAAAGAGGGUGAAACCCCCGUAUUUGGUCCUGGAGAAGUCGGAAGAAGGGCUCGCAGAGUCAGAUAGCUUGGGAUUGCUGUCUAAAUCGGGGGAUAAACUUCCCCCAAGGCUAAAUAUUGAUGGGAAACCGAUAGCGAACAAGUACUGUGAAGGAAAGAUGAAAAGAACUUAGAAAUGAGGGUUAAAAGAUUUGAAACCGUUGAGAAGGAAGCUGUGGGGGUUGGCUAAUGUCGGAUAUGAUUGACGAGAGCAGAAGAGAAUGGAUUCGCAAGGCCGGACUCAGAAGCGAAGGAAGGUCCUCUACCGACAAAAGAUAGGAUGGCGUGCUGUCUGGGCGAAAAGCUAGUAGGAUUUUAGCCUGCUAGUGGGGCUUGGAUGCGCGCGAGGGGCUUAUGCGAUCCUGUCGAAACGACCUCUACAGGCCCGUCUUGAAACACGGACCAAGGAGUCUAUCACGUAUCAGAGUCUGCGAGUGGAAAACUCAUAGGCGUAACGAAAGUAAGUAUAAGCAGUCAACCGCAAGGGGCAGCUGCAUCCAUCCAUGAUCUUCUGUGAAAGGUAUGAGAAAGAUGAUACUUGAUAGGACCCGAAAGAUGGUGAACUAUGCUUGAAUAGAGUGAAGUCAGGGGAAACUCUGAUGGAAGCUCAUAGCGGUACUGACGUGCAAAUCGUUCGCGAAAUUUGAGUAUAGGGGCGAAAGACUAAUCGAACCAUCUAGUAGCUGGUUCCCUCUGAAGUUUCUCUCAGGAUAGCAAGCACAUUUUAGCAGUUUUACUAGGUAAAGCGAAUGAUUAGAGGUAACUGGGAGUUAAUCUCCUAGUCCUAUUCUCAAACUUUAAAUUGGUAAGAACUAACGGUUUUCUUAAUUGAACCGGAGGGAAGAAUGCGUGUGUUUAGUGGGCCAUUUUUGGUAAGCAGAACUGGCGAUGAGGGAUGCACCUAACGUGAUGUUAAGGCGCCUAAACUCAUAAUAAUUGGACACCAAAAAAGGAGUUGAUUCAUUAAGACAGCAGGACGGUGUCCCUGAAAGUAGGAAUCCGCUAAGGAGUGUCUUACAACUCACCUGCCGAAUGAAUCAGCCCUGAAAAUGGAUGGCGCUAUAUUAUGAUGCCGAUACAUCACCAUCAGAGUAAAUAUGAAGCUUUGAUGUGUAAGAGGGCGUGGGAGUAGUGUAGAAGCUGUGACGUGAGUCGAGGUGGAACUGCUCUCAGUGCAGAUCUUGGUGGUAGUAGCAAUUAUUCAAAUGAGAACUUUGAAGGCCGAAGUGGAGAAGGGUUCCAUGAGAACAGUAAUUGGUCAUGGGUUACUCGGUCCUAAGACGUAGGGAAAUUCUUCUAUUCAAGUGCGAUUCGCACGAUGUCAAAAGGGAAACAGGUUAAUAUUCCUGUAGCCUGUCGAGGAUACUAUGCGGCAACGCAAACGAGCUCGGAGACGCCAGAGUGAGCCCUGGGAGGGAUUGUCUUUCCUUUUUAACUGUCUAUCGCCUUGGAAUUGGAUUAUCCAGAGAGACGGCUUCAUGGCAGGAAGAGCGGGGCACUAUUUGCCUCGUCCGGUGCGCUCACUAUGGUCAUUGAAAAUCCGGGGGAGAUUAUUAUUCGCUCGCAGGUCCGUACCAACAACCGCAUCAGGUCUCCAAGGUUAGCAGCCUCUGGUCGAUAAAAUAAUGUAGAUAAGGGAAUUCGGCAAAUUAGAUCCGUAACUUCGGGAAAAGGAUUGGCUCUGAGGAUUGGGCUUGAGGGCUCUUUCUAACGCUUCCUUGUUGUUAGUCGAAUGUCGAGCAAUCGAUGUACUUCUAGCUCUUGGAGCCGAGGAUAUGAGAACUCUUGCGAUUAACAAUCAAUUCAGAACUGAAGCGGACAAGGGGAAUCUAACUGUUUAAUAAAAACAUAGCAUUGUGAUGGCGUGAAAACGUGUUGACACAAUGUGAUUUCUGCCCAGUGCUCUGAAUAUUAAGGUGAUGAAAUUCGCUUAAGUACGGGUAAACGGCGGGAGUAACUAUGACUCUCUUAAGGUAGCCAAAUGCCUCGUCAUCUAAUUAGUGACGCGCAUGAAUGGAUUAAUGAGAUUCCCACUGUCCCUAUCUACUAUCUAGCGAACCCACAGCCAAGGGAACGGGCUUGGCAAAAUCAGCGGGGAAAGAAGACCCUGUUGAGCUUGACUCUAGUCUGACUUUGUGAAUUAUCUGGGGUGGUGUAGACUAGGUGGGAGGGUAACCAAUCGUGAAAGACCACUACAUUCUAAGAUAAUUUACUUAUUUCGUGAGGUAUGAUACAUUCUAGCUCUAAGACGGAUUUUCCGUUGACAUAGGCGAAUGACAUAGUCAGGUGGGGAGUUUGGCUGGGGCGGCACAUCUGUUAAACUGCAACGCAGGUGUCCUACGGAAAGCUCAGUGAGAACAGAAAUCUCACGUAGACCAAAAGGGGAAAAGCUUUCUUGAUUUUGAUUUUCAGUAAAAAUACAAACCGGGAAACCGUGGCCUAUCGAUCCUUUAUCUUUACAAGUUUUAAGCUAGAGGUGCCAGAAAAGUUACCACAGGGAUAACUGACUUGUGGCCACCAAGCGAUCAUAGCGACGUGGCUUUUUGAUCCUUCGAUGUCGGCUCUUCCUAUCAUUGAGAAGCAUCAUUUUCAACGUGUCGGAUUGUUCACCCGCUAAUAGGGAACGUGAGCUGGGUUUAGACCG
rnacentral:rRNA from 1 species